rnacentral:misc_RNA from 1 species
AAUCGCCAUCCACCAGCACACUAUUUGUUUCCUCUUUCACAGGUCCGCAACGAGCCCCAUCACAGCGGCCGCAUCCAACGUCGCGCACCAUUCCGCCCAGAUGGACACUGCACCCGAUCAUCGCGAGCCCCAGGAGCAGGGCGAAAGUCGCAAGUGGUAUGAAAUGACUGCAAGCGAGUUCUACGUGUACGUCGUCGCGUUCAUGUGCGGCGUGUCCAUGAUGAUGUCCGUCAAUGCCGUCUUCUCCGCGCCUGCAUACAUUAUGACGUACUACCGCUACGCCAUGCAGGACCCGGAAGCGGUUCCGCUGUACACAAACUUCUGGAACAACGUCAUGACCUACUACAACCUUAUCGGUAUCGUGACGAGCCUGAUCAUGGAGCCGCUGACGCUGCUCAGCUGGUUCCGCCGCAUCCCGAUAAAGGUGCGUCUGCUUGGCGGCCUGGUCAUCCUGAUCGUCGAGAUCAUCGUGCUUAUGGUGGUGCCUGCGCGCGGCACGAGCGAGGCCGGUGCCGUGGCGACGAUCUGCUGCACCGGUUUCAUUGGCGGCUUCGGCAAGAGCAUCUUCGAGUCCACGGCGUACGGCAUGUUCGGUGCCUUCCCCUCGAGCUUCACGUCCACCAUGAUGGGUGGCGUCGGCAUGUCUGGUGUGCUGACAUCGCUGCUGCAGAUCAUCGUGAAGGCUGCGCUGCCCGACUCCUACGAGGGCGUGAAGAAGCAGUCGAAGAUCUACUACGGCCUGGACGUGGGUAUCCAGGGCAUGACCUUCGUUGCGCUGAUCCUGCUCCGCUUCAACAGCUUCGCCCAGAACUACUUCGGUGACCUCGGUGCUGUGAAGAGCAAGGUGGACGCCGGCAAGCUAUCGGCGGAGGCGCUCUGCCACACCGACGAGCACCCGACUCAUGACAAGGAGGGUCGCAACUCUUCUUCGGGCAAGGAGGUGCCGGCCCUGGGUGAGGUGCAGACGGCCGCCGCCAAGUCGGAGGGCCCGGAUGCGGUGGAAGAGAGCUCAUGGCCGCACGAGGUGGAGGGCCCGACGAGUAACGAGAUCCUCGUGGCCACCGCCAUCUUCAGCACGCUGCGCCGUGUCAAGUGGAUGUUCGUCGCCUGUGCCUUUAAUUUUCUCAUCACGCUGUUCCUCUUCCCCGGCAUCGCUGUCGGCAUGUUUCCGGACUCGAAGUGGUUCUCGACGAUCGCCGUGUUCAUCUUCAACGUGUUCGAUGUGCUGGGCCGCUUCUCGCCGUCGCUGAAGCUCAUGUGGCCGCGGUCGUACAAGCAGCGCUGGAUCAUCGUAGCGGCGUCCUUUGCGCGCGUCAUCUUUGUGCCGCUGCUGCUGCUGCACUCGUACCACUACAUCCCGGGCGAGGCGUACGGCUACGUGAUGGAGGUCAUCUUCGGCUUCUCGAACGGCUACGUGGGCUCGAUGGCGCUGGUGCUUGGCCCGCAGUCGAAGGGCAUCGACAACGACGGCAAGCGCUUCGUUGCCGGUACUCUGAUGGGCAUCUCCAUCCUCGUCGGUGGCACGAUCGGCACCGUGCUCAGCAUCAUGACGCAGACCAUCCGCGAGCGCCACUGAUGUGCGAAGCAACGCAUCUGAACGGAAUUUUUGGAUGUUGAUCGGUGGCGGUGAGGAUGCUCGCACACGCAUGCUGGCACGCGGUCCGACUCGAGUGCAUGCGAGCGGUCCGCGGCAUCAUCAAGGACAAGUCUGUCGUUUCGUUGUCUUCUGUUCCUGCACCGCAUAUUGUGCUUUGCGCGCCUUUUUCUUUUUUUUUUUGGUUUAAUGUGGGCCACCUUGUGCCCCGCUGCUUUCCUCCAUCAUCCUUUUCCGCCACCUCGAGCACCUCGUGUGGCUUAUCUUCUUCCUCUCCCUCCCACCCUCCCACCCUCCCCCCCCCCUCUCUCUCUCUCUCUCUCUUUGCUUGUGCGUGUGUGCGUGCGUGUGUGUGCCCCGCGCACUGCUGUUGAUCUCCCCCCUCCGCCGUUGACUCGCUCGUGCUCCCUCUUACCUGUUGUGUGUGUGUGUGUGUGUGUGUUGAUUUAUUAUGACGGGGUGCUCUGCUUCUGCGUUGGUUUCGCUUCGACGCGCUCCGAUGAUGCAUGGCGACUUCGCCCUGGCAUCCGAGGCCCCGUGCCCACCCCGCUUUGUGGGAACGCGAAGUAGCCGGUCGCCUGUCCUUGGCUACGGUUGAGGACUCUUGGUGUCGGCAGGACAGGUCUGUGCCGGCGCUGUGCCGAAGAGACCUGCGGUCAUGAUGACGCUCGUACCACCUCGCUACGAAUAUUGUCGAUGAUGCAGCACAUGUACGCAUCCACCUCUUUAUUCUGUUUUCUGCUUCGUUGCGGUGAUGUGGAGCGCAAUCCGUGGGCCCAG